GAUGAACGCUGGCGGCGUGCCUAAUACAUGCGAGUCGAGCGAAUGGAUUAAGAGCUUGCUCUUAUGAAGUUAGCGGCGGACGGGUGAGUAACACGUGGGUAACCUGCCCAUAAGACUGGGAUAACUCCGGGAAACCGGGGCUAAUACCGGAUAACAUUUUGAACCGCAUGGUUCGAAAUUGAAAGGCGGCUUCGGCUUUCACUUAUGGAUGGACCCGCGGCGCAUUAGCUAGUUGGUGAGGUAACGGCUCACCAAGGCAACGAUGCGUAGCCGACCUGAGAGGGUGAUCGGCCACACUGGGACUGAGACACGGCCCAGACUCCUACGGGAGGCAGCAGUAGGGAAUCUUCCGCAAUGGACGAAAGUCUGACGGAGCAACGCCGCGUGAGUGAUGAAGGCUUUCGGGUCGUAAAACUCUGUUGUUAGGGAAGAACAAGUGCUAGUUGAAUAAGCUGGCACCUUGACGGUACCUAACCAGAAAGCCACGGCUAACUACGUGCCAGCCGCCGCCGUAA
rnacentral:rRNA from 1 species